AUUGCAGGCUGCAACCCGCCUGCAUGAAGUCGGAAUCGCUAGUAAUCGCAGGUCAGCAUACUGCGGUGAAUACGUUCCCGGGCCUUGUACACACCGCCCGUCACACCACGAAAGUUGGUAACACCCGAAGCCGGCGAACCGACGCGCAAGCGAGGGAACCGUCGAAGGUGGGAUCGAUGAUUGGGGUGAAGUCGUAACAAGGUACC
rnacentral:rRNA from 1 species